GCGCGGUUAGCUCAGCGGGAGAGCGCUUCCCUGACACGGAAGAGGUCACAGGUUCAAUCCCUGUACCGCGCACCA
rnacentral:tRNA from 4 species